ensembl:snRNA U6 U6 spliceosomal RNA
AUGCUCACUUCGGCAGCACAAAUACUAAAAAUUAAAGCAAGACAGACAGAAGAUUAGCAUGGCCCCUGCUCAAGGAUGACAUACAAAUUCAUGAAGAAGUUUAUGUUUAA